CGGCUUGCAAAUGCGGUCCGCUGGCCCUAUGCCCGUCGUCUCUUCGGGGACUAUGGCGAUAAACGCGCACGGAAUAAGCGGACCGGACCCGGGGGCGGUACCCGGCGGCCACCAUCUUCCCGUCGUUGGCGGGCGCGAGGGGCCGAAACAGGAUCGACGGACGUGUAAAGGUGUUGCUUUUGCCCGGUGAGGUACCACCGUUAUCGGUCCGCAAAGUACAGUUGCCAACGACAACCGUGCUCCGGUCGCCGUUGCUGCGUAAGCGUAACAAGACCGAAACCUAAGCCCUGGCCCCUAGCAGGGUCAGGCGGGGUCCGCAGGCACCUGGCAACAGAAGCCUGCACC
rnacentral:tmRNA from 1 species